rnacentral:rRNA from 1 species
AGCAGUCGCCACGGGAAUACGGAGGGCGCGAGCGUUACCCGGAUUUACUGGGCGUAAAGGGCGUGUAGGCGGCCUGGGGCGUCCCAUGUGAAAGGCCACGGCUCAACCGUGGAGGAGCGUGGGAUACGCUCAGGCUAGAGGGUGGGAGAGGGUGGUGGAAUUCCCGGAGUAGCGGUGAAAUGCGCAGAUACCGGGAGGAACGCCGAUGGCGAAGGCAGCCACCUGGUCCACUUCUGACGCUGAGGCGCGAAAGCGUGGGGAGCAAACCGGACUAGAUACCCCCGUAGUCCCUGUCUCUUAUAC